AACUCUGGACCCACUUCCAUACA
rnacentral:miRNA from 8 species